rnacentral:rRNA from 1 species
AAGCUGGCGGCGUGCCUAACACAUGCAAGUCGAGCGGAGCCAAUUAACAGAUCCCUUCGGGGUGAAGUUGAGGAAGCUUAGCGGCGGACGGGUGAGUAACGCGUGAGUAACCUGCCCAUAAGUGAGGGAUAGCCCAUGGAAACGUGGAGUAAUACCUCAUAUUGUAUAUUAACUGCAUGGUUUGAUAUAUGAAAGAUUUAUCGCUUAUGGAUGGACUCGCGUCUGAUUAGAUAGUUGGUGAGGUAACGGCUCACCAAGUCGACGAUCAGUAGCCGAACUGAGAGGUUGAUCGGCCGCAUUGGGACUGAGACACGGCCCAGACUCCUACGGGAGGCAGCAGUGGGGAAUAUUGGGCAAUGGGGGAAACCCUGACCCAGCAACGCCGCGUGAAGGAAGACGGUCUUCGGAUUGUAAACUUUUGUUCUUAGUGAAGAAACAUGACGGUAGCUAAGGAGAAAGCCACGGCUAACUACGUG